AGAGUUUGAUCCUGGCUCAGGACGAACGCUGGCGGCGUGCUUAACACAUGCAAGUCGAACGGAGCACCCUUGAUUGAGGUUUCGGCCAAAUGAUAGGAAUGCUUAGUGGCGGACUGGUGAGUAACGCGUGAGGAACCUGCCUUUCAGAGGGGGACAACAGUUGGAAACGACUGCUAAUACCGCAUGACGCAUUUUGAUCGCAUGGUCGAAAUGCCAAAGAUUUAUCGCUGAAAGAUGGCCUCGCGUCUGAUUAGAUAGUUGGCGGGGUAACGGCCCACCAAGUCGACGAUCAGUAGCCGGACUGAGAGGUUGACCGGCCACAUUGGGACUGAGAUACGGCCCAGACUCCUACGGGAGGCAGCAGUGGGGAAUAUUGGGCAAUGGGCGCAAGCCUGACCCAGCAACGCCGCGUGAAGGAAGAAGGCUUUCGGGUUGUAAACUUCUUUUAAGUGGGAAGAGUAGAAGACGGUACCACUUGAAUAAGCCACGGCUAACUACGUGCCAGCAGCCGCGGUAAUACGUAGGUGGCAAGCGUUGUCCGGAUUUACUGGGUGUAAAGGGCGUGCAGCCGGGCAUGCAAGUCAGAUGUGAAAUCUCAGGGCUUAACCCUGAAACUGCAUUUGAAACUGUAUGUCUUGAGUGCCGGAGAGGUAAUCGGAAUUCCUUGUGUAGCGGUGAAAUGCGUAGAUAUAAGGAAGAACACCAGUGGCGAAGGCGGAUUACUGGACGGUAACUGACGGUGAGGCGCGAAAGCGUGGGGAGCGAACAGGAUUAGAUACCCUGGUAGUCCACGCUGUAAACGAUGGAUACUAGGUGUGCGGGGACUGACCCCCUGCGUGCCGCAGUUAACACAAUAAGUAUUCCACCUGGGGAGUACGAUCGCAAGGUUGAAACUCAAAGGAAUUGACGGGGGCCCGCACAAGCGGUGGAUUAUGUGGUUUAAUUCGAAGCAACGCGAAGAACCUUACCAGGUCUUGACAUCCUGCUAACGAAGUAGAGAUACAUUAGGUGCCCUUCGGGGAAAGCAGA
rnacentral:rRNA from 1 species